UACGUAGGGGGCCAGCGUUGUCCGAAGUUACUGGGCGUAAAGAGCGCGUAGGCGGGUCUUUAAGUGAGAGGUGAAAUUCUGAGGCUCAACCUCGGAACUGCCUUUCAUACUGGGGACCUUGAGUGCGGGAGAGGCGAGUGGAAUGGUCGGUGUAGCGGUGAAAUGCGUAGAUAUCGAUCGGAACACCCAUGGCGAAGGCAGCUCGCUGGCCUGCAGCUGACGCUGAGGCGCGAAAGCCGGGGGAGCAAACAGG
rnacentral:rRNA from 1 species